GCAGGCUGCGCUGCGUCGUCGAGGCGCUCUGCGUGAAGCGGGGGCGCGAGGUGUGCGGCGACGCUGUGGCGCUGGCGUGUGCGACCGUCGUCUGUGCCAUCUCACCGUGGAGGGGUGCCCAUCGCGUCGCUCAGCAUGGCCGCCGCUGGGGUGCGGCGCCUCGGCCUGCGCAUGAUUGCCGUGCGCCGCCGCGAGCGGGCGUUCGCGUAGACGCAGCACGCCGUGGCGAGUUGUUUGCCGCGGUGCAUGAAUGCCGCGUCUCGGCGGGAAGGCGCACGGAUGAGAAGUUGCUGAGGUCGGUGCGGCGCUGGGGCGCACUGCGUUGCACGAUCCCGCACAGGACGUGUGCGUGUUUCACCACAAGCUUUUCCACUCCGCCUCCCGGUGCUGCUGGCCGCAGGCGCGCGGUGAGAUGAGGAGGUGAUGGGGAAGGGCGGGUGGUGGCUCUGCGCGAGCGCGUGGGUGUCGGGUGGAUGGGAGUGUGCACUGAUGUAGGUGCACCCUCGCGUGCUGCGACUGGCACCGCCGCCCUCCUCGCCCCAUGGGGGCGCACACGGGGUCGCUGCUGCUCGCAUCCCCUGCUCUUUGGUGAUGUUCCUUUUUUUUCUUGUGGUGCAGGGCCGCGGCGGUGCGGGGAUGGGCGGUGCUGCAUCCCGCCCGCACAGACACCGAGGCCGCCCCCGCACCUCCCCCCUGCACACACGUGUCCAUCGGCCUCGCGCAAGCGCUCCUAGGACAACGCCGACCAGAGAAAAACGCAGCAAGCGGCUCCAGGCGGUAGGCUGUGCGACUG
rnacentral:misc_RNA from 1 species